UUGCCUACGGGGGGCAGCAGUGGGGAAUAUUGGGCAAUGGGCGCAAGCCUGACCCAGCAACGCCGCGUGAAGGAAGAAGUAUUUCGGUAUGUAAAGCUCUAUCAGCAGGGAAGAAGAUGACGGUACCUGAGUAAGAAGCCCCGGCUAACUACGUGCCAGCAGCCGCGGUAAUACGUAGGGGGCAAGCGUUAUCCGGAUUUACUGGGUGUAAAGGGAGCGUAGACGGCUGCGCAAGUCUGAAGUGAAAGCCCGGGGCUCAACCCCGGGACUGCUUUGGAAACUGUGUAGCUAGAGUGCUGGAGAGG
rnacentral:rRNA from 1 species